UUUUCAUAAAGUUAAGGAAAAAAACUGUUCACUAACAGAAAUUCUUUCCAGUAUCUAAUUGAAAACAUAUUCAAUUUUAAUAAUU